CGUACACUCCUACGGGAGGCAGCAGUGGGGAAUUUUGGACAAUGGGCGAAAGCCUGAUCCAGCCAUGCCGCGUGCAGGAUGAAGGCCUUCGGGUUGUAAACUGCUUUUGUACGGAACGAAACGGCCUUUUCUAAUAAAGAGGGCUAAUGACGGUACCGUAAGAAUAAGCACCGGCUAACUACGUGCCAGCAGCCGCGGUAAUACGUAGGGUGCAAGCGUUAAUCGGAAUUACUGGGCGUAAAGCGUGCGCAGGCGGUUAUGUAAGACAGUUGUGAAAUCCCCGGGCUCAACCUGGGAACUGCAUCUGUGACUGCAUAGCUAGAGUACGGUAGAGGGGGAUGGAAUUCCGCGUGGAGCAGUGAAAUGCGUAGAUAUGCGGAGGAACACCGAUGGCGAAGGCAAUCCCCUGGACCUGUACUGACGCUCAUGCACGAAAGCGUGGGGAGCAAACAGGAUUAGAAACCCCAGUAGUCCC
rnacentral:rRNA from 1 species